UUAACUGAGGCAGGAAUGGAAAAUUCAGACGUUUAUUCCUUGGUUCUAAAAUCUGAUGAACUGAUUUUGUUGGGUGGUGAGGAUACACUGCCAGACCUAUUAACUGGGCAGAUAUUUUGCUAAUUGAGCAGAUGCCUACUUUUUCUUGUGAAAUCUUUAUUUGUGGUAAACACUAAACGAACUACUCGUGUGGUAGCACUUUGUGAAUGUUUGCUCAGAUGAUGAUGAUGGGAGAUUAUUUCUGUU
rnacentral:lncRNA from 1 species